CCCUUAGAUGUUCGGGGCCGCACGCGCGCUACACUGAAUGGAUCAACGUGCCUUUCCCGAGGCUGAAAAGUCGAGGUAAUCCGUUGAACCCCAUUCGUGACGGGGAUAGGAGCUUGCAAUUAUUCUCCUUGAACGAGGAAUUCCCAGUAAGCGCGAGUCAUCAGCUCGCGUUGAUUACGUCCCUGCCCUUUGUACACACCGCCCGUCGCUACUACCGAUUGAAACAUACGGUGAAAUUCUCGGAGAGAAGAGUUAGCGUGUUAAGUUCGCUUAGCACGCGCUAGUCUCAAAGUUAAUUAAAUCUCAUGUUUUAGAGGAAGGAGAAGUCGUAACA
rnacentral:rRNA from 1 species